UAAGGCUUCCGGUCGCAGCGGGGAAGAUUGGCCGUGAGUAGAAUAGGCCCUUCCGCUUAUUGGGCUGCUGAACUGAACAGACCGCGCGUUAAUCACUGCGUUUGUGCGUUUUCUUUUUCCGUUUCCGUCCACUUAAGAGGUCGGCCGAGAGUUAUUUGGCAACAGCCCCUGGGUUACUCUGGUUUAGGGUCGCCGCCGCGGUUGCGGAAGAAGAAAGGAGUCGCCGGCGUCGCGGCUUUUUGGAGAAAGUGUCAGGGUUGCCGAAAGCCUUGAAGUGCUGGCGAGGAAGAUGACGUGCAAAUAAAGUAUCAUUUUUCCCCGGCACUUGUGGGCCAGGAGUAGUCCAGCCACUGGCAUCAUAAAAAAUAGGACUGACAGUGAGGAUUGAUAUUUGGGUUAUUUCAACAUGAGCUUCCUGUUACCCAAGCUGAGCAGCAAAAAGGAAGUAGACCAGGCGAUAAAAAGUACUGCAGAGAAGGUGUUGGUUCUCAGGUUUGGGAGAGACGAGGAUCCUGUCUGUCUGCAGCUAGAUGAUAUUCUUUCUAAAACCUCUUCUGACUUAAGCAAAAUGGCUACUAUAUAUCUGGUAGAUGUGGACCAGACUCCAGUCUAUACACACUAUUUUGACAUCAGUUACAUUCCUUCUACUGUGUUUUUCUUCAAUGGGCAGCAUAUGAAAGUGGAUUAUGGGUCCCCAGAUCACACCAAGUUUGUGGGAAGUUUCAAAACCAAACAAGACUUUAUAGAUUUGAUUGAAGUAAUUUAUCGAGGAGCAAUGAGGGGAAAACUUAUUGUCCAAAGUCCCAUUGAUCCCAAGAAUAUUCCCAAAUACGACCUGCUCUAUCAAGACAUUUAGCAGGUUCACUGCUGUCAAAGUCGAAGAGAAAGGCACAUCCUGAAAGAGUACCUGAACCCAGCUGUGCUGUUUUCCUGGAGUCCUGCGGAAGCGUGGUCAGCAUCCUGGCGGAGAAGAGGCUUGAUAUGUGUAGAGCUUACUUGUCCCCAGGUAGAAGACGUGUGGCAAUGGCACUGAGGUCACAUGACCAGAGACGCCGGAGUGUCUACCCCUACGGACCUCGGCGCAGCCCCAUCAGCCACGGUCAGUGGCCCCAGCGGGAUCAUUUCACCCUCUCUUUAUAUUGUGCUUUUCUUUCUUCUUUAAGGUAAUACAGAAUCCUUCUAAACAUUGCCUGGUACAAUUCGAUCAACUACGUUUAUCUGACACACAAGUAAAAUAGAAAGUCAGUUCCCGUAAGAGCAGAAGUCCUUCUCUUCAAGAUGUACGCACACCCACCCCUUCCAUCAUCCUCAGCCUCGCCUGUUCCUCCACACGUAUCUCAAGCAGCUCACCUGUCUCCAGUCCCUGCAUCCCAGUUUCUCUUGGAAAAAAUAAUUCUCUACUGAUAAUCGGGCAAGUUUGUUUAUCUUCCAGCCUUUCAGGCUCAGACUUUUAAAGGUAUCCUGGUUUGCUCAUUUUACCAGCGUUUAUGUUAAUAAAUUGCCCAAGAAGUGAGAACUUGAGUCUUUACCAUCCAGCACUCAAGUGGAGCUAAACAAAGAACUAACUACCCUCAGUGAGUAGGAGCAGACGUCUUUCAGAGACAGGAAAUUGUACUUCAAGGACUCAAGCCUGGAAAGAGCUCAGAAUUAUGAGAAAGAAAUACCAUCUUUAUAGGAUUUGCCUGUUUUAACAAUUUUAUGAGGCAUUCUUGUUCUUCCAGGAGACACCACUGGACAAGUUCCUGCUCCUCUCAAAACCUCAUGGGGGCUAAUGGUACUGACUUCCUAGGGUAAGAGGAUAGAUGCAGAGGCAGAGGGCAGUGCACCAGGCGGCACGCAAGGAGCUGCUACUGGCCACCUUGCCAACAAAAGCCCAGUACUGUGCAGGGCAGCAGUGUUGCUGCAGGUCCGUCCCCCUUUGCCAAGUGCUUUCUGGGGAGCGGUGACCAUGGAGCCUAGUUCUGACAGGCAUGGCAUAGAAGGAAGGCUGCUGGACUGACCGUGGUGGCCUUUGUUUGUAAAGGAGAGAGCCACUCCCAGAAUGAGAUCACAAAACCCUUUCACCACCACCUCCGUCUUUUGGCCCCCGCUUCCUGCUUUCAUGGUAGUCGUGACGCAUGGGCUACAGCAGCCGUCUUAGGACCAGAAGGCAGCCAGCCCGGAUGGACAGUGAACAUGCCAAGAAGACCAGUAAAAAGAGCCUAGGUCCUGGGUUCCUGUUGUGGCUCAGCGGUUAACGAACCUGACUAGGAUCCGUGAGGAUGUGGGUUUGAUCCCCGGCCUCACUCAGUGGGUGAAGGAUCUGGUGUUGCUGUGAACUGUGGUGUAGGUCACACACACACACGAGGCUUGGAUCUGGCGUGGCUAUGGCUGUGGUGUAGGCUGGCAGCUGUAGUUCCGAUUGGACCCCUAGCCUGGGAACCUCCAUAUACCAUGGGUGCGGCCCCAAAAAGACCAAAAAAAAAAAAGAGAGAAAAGAGCCUGGGUCCCUACCGAUGAGCCUGAGCUACUGAGCGGACUCUGGACCUGCCUCCCUCCAGACUUCUGUGAGGAUAAAACGCCCUCCCUGCCCGUCACUGUAGUCUGUCCCUCAUGACCUAAGCCACAGAGCAUUUGAUGUGUGGAAGGUUUUUGCUCUGAUACCAGCAAAAAUAAUCUGUGUGUGUAAGCAUCUCAUCUCUUCUCUCCUGAGGGCUUUAGGGAAUAUUGCUCUAAAGUCAUGGCUUUUGUUUUUGUUCCCAUCUUAGUUGCUCCCCAUUCCACAAGUUUUUAUUAAGUACAUACUGUGUGCCCUGUCUUAGGCCAGAUGCUACAUAAAAACGAGUGACUGUUGCAUGGAAAAAAGGCUUCUUAGGAGAGACGGGACCUGAGCCUUAAAGGAAAGUAGGAGGUACUCCUGGAGAAAGGGGGAGGGCAUUUCAGGAGAGGGCGUGGGGGUGCGGGGUGGGGGGAAGGCGCAGGGGCCCGAGGCAGCAGCGUGUCGAGAGGGUUCCACAGAGUUCAGUGUCGCUGAAGCCCAAGGCCAAGGCCAGGCGGGUGGAAGGUGCUGCUGGGGAGGGAGGCAGAGGGGAUAAAUGGAUCGAGAAGAUGCCAGAGGUUUUCUCUUACUAUUUUCCUCCCGAGUGGUGAGUAGAAGCCGCUUAGUAUAAGCCGAUUAUUCUUCAAGAAAACCUAAUGCUGAAGGUACUACCACUCACUCUGAUCCCUCUCACGGGUUCUAGGACAUAGGUCUAGGUCCUUCACUGGCCUACCAGCUCUGACCCGUAGAAAAUUACUGAUGGCGCUGGAAAGUGCAUGUGAGAAGAACAGCACAGUGAAGGCAGAACCCUCUUGAGAGUAGUGACAUCCGGUGACAUUCUAAACCACGAGAAGGAGAGGCCACGUUUUGGUGUGACAGAGGGGAUAUUGGCAAAGCCUUCGUUCAUUGUGCUGAACGAAGGCUUACAGCAAGAAAGAGUUCAGUGAGAGCUGCGCUUUGAAGAAGAGCUUUGUGUUCUGGGUUCUGCAACCUUUUUUUCUGGGAAACCCUUAAUAGCAAGAUCUUAUCUUUGUGAAAUGAAAGACUCAAACAGCUUGCAUCUUGACUCCUGGUAAAGGGUAGGUUUCUUCCACGUGGGAAAAGCAGCGCUCCCUGAGGAAGAGACUUCUAACUUUACCCAGUGUCCCAGGGUGAUUACUUGUGGGCACUGAGGGAUCGUCCGGCUUAAGCCCAUCAUAGGAAAGUCCGGGGACCCGGUGGGCAGGGAGCUUCAGGAACUUGGCAAGUGUAUUGUCCAGCUAUGACCUGGACCCAGCCAGUCCAGAGAUCCUGCCUUUACACCAUCUUACUCUGUGGUCUAAAGAGCUGGUGUGUUGAAAGACAAACAGCCAAGUGUCGAAACACUUGUUUUCAUCCCAUUUUGAGCUGGCCGCUUCCUCACCAGCCUGUACUCUGUCUCCCAUUUCACUCCGAAGAAGCCAAAGAAGGCAGUGGAAAGAGCUCGGGACUUGGAUUCAGACAGACCUAGGUUCAAGGUUGGGCUUCACUACUUGAUAGCUGUGUAACUUUAAGCAAAUCACUUAACUUCUCUGAGUCUGUUUGCUUGUCUGUAAAACGAUACCAGUGACCUCCCCCCUGAGGCCUGCCAUCCCAUAGGCGCCUCAUUCAGUGAGCAUGAGCCCCGGAGGGGACAGUGCUUGUCACCUGAGGGAUUGCCAGUUGGCCUGGGGUGUCUUCUGACCCACUCCCUGUAGUCUCUAGACCACUCCGCUGUGGCUGUACCAUAAAUGAGAGAAUGAAAACAGCUCAAGGCUACAGACAGCACAGGAGGGAAUCAAAGGAAGCUCUUUAUUGACUGACUCAGCGAUGUGGGGCUGGAACCCGGCAGCUUCACACCACGUUUUCUCCCCUCCGCUCCCGUCCAGUUUUCCCUCGUCCUUUCAGGCCCAGGCUGGCGGCCUCAGUUGUCAGCUAUGGUUGUCUGAAUCCAGUCCAG